rnacentral:lncRNA from 10 species
GAAUUAGUGAGUACUCAGUGAUUUUAGACGCUUUGCCAUUGGUGAGGAGCAGGGAAGUUCUUUCUCCUUGUUAAAAAAGAGGAUCUGGAAGCUAUAGAAACACACGGCGAUUUCUCAUCUUAAGCAGAGUUCUGGGGUACGUGAUAAAAGAAGAACUUCAGCUGAAUUAAAUUUAAAGGAGUUUGAGCAAUGAAUAAUUCGCGAAUUGGGCAGCCCCCAGAAUCACAGCAGAUUCACAAAGACUCCAGUGCAACCACGUGGUAGAAGAAGAUUUACAGACAAAAAAAAAAAAAAAAUGGAAAUGACAUACAGAAAUUGGAAGGAGAGUACAGAACUGCCGGUUGGUUACAGUAAGCAGUACAAUCAAUGGAUCUUUGAUGGCUGAGACAGGUUGAAAUGGCAAAAAGACAACAGCACCACUUUUGAAAACGACUUUAUGUAGACCACCUCCCUGGCCUCAGCGUCCUCAUCUGAACAAGAAGGGAACUUCCCAGUUCUGACGGUCUAUCGUACAGCAUCUCAGCGUUGUGAUUCUUAAAUAAGUAUUCACUGUACAAUCCUAUAAAGUUGCAGGACUACUGGCUGGCUGGAGCUAGUUCACAAGGACAACCACAUCAGUCAGGAAGACCUGUGACCCAAUGGCUCUCAUGUGCUCAUGGACUAAACAGGAAACAAAAUUCUGCGACCCCAAGUAUGGUAAAUGAUGAAUGGCAAGAAAGCAACUGGUCUAUCUUCUGAUCAUGUAAAUUCCUUUCCUUUAAAGGGAGGUUUGUCUGCCCAGAGGCUUAAAGGCAAAUCAUGAAAUCACGUGUCUUCUGGAAAAAGACACACCAGCUGAUAAAAACAUGGUUUCUCCAAUAAUCAGUUAAAAACAUCAAAAUAUUUAUAAUUAUGUGCUAUUGCUUGAGCUGGCAUUCUCUAUUUCUCAUCACUUUCAUCAACCAAAGUUUAUUAGGGUAUGGAAGUUGAUAAAACUUAGAGAAAAAUCCCAAGGAAAUUCCAUGUCUUUUGUGUUCCCUCAAACUGAAGUUUUCCCAGUAUCUGUUUUCUCCUUAUUGGCAAUGGUGAGAAGGAAUACUAUAUGAAAAGAGAUUUAAAAUCUAUCAUAGACUUUGUCAUAUGAGAACAAUCCUUUCUGGAAAAGAAAUGUAAACUUACAGGGAUUUCUUAAGGGUCUCCAUGGAUAUACACCAUCCCCCUCCUCCAGUAGCUGUUAGCUUUUAUGUGCAAAUGUACUGAACUAGAGACCUAUUAUAUCAAAAGGACAUUUUCAUCCUAGAAUAUUUUUCAGAAAAACAAGCCUCAAAAUGUAACUCUUCUGUGCAGAUGCAAUCACCCAAUCAAUUCUUCUGCUGAUUCAACAUUCUAAUAAGACUAACAAUCCAUUCAUUCAUUCAUUCAUUCAUCCAGCAAACAUUUAUUGAAUGCCCACUACAAAGUUCAGUGUUGUAACGACUGAGGCUCUGAAAAUCAUGGCUCCAAAACUCAAAACCUAUGAAACCUUGGAUAAGUUUCUUAAACUCUCAAGUUUCGGUAUCCUUAUUUAAAAUACUAGUUGCUGGUAUGCAGCUACUUUUUAUGAACCAACCUAGAGAAACCCCAUCCUCCUUAUUCAGAUGCCCUACUGGGAGGAAGGUGCGUGGGUCAACCUAGAGGAAGACUAUGAUAUAUUUUGAAAUGAUCUUAGGAUAGGACACAGAAUCUCAAGCAGGUUGCUCUGGAUCUUUCCACUGUUCCAAGAACAAGGAUCACUCACCAAGGCACUAAAUGCAACCAUUUCUGUUGCAUACAGACAGAGAAAAUUAAUACAUUUAACAAAUGAUUAAAAGAAGUGUUCAGGAAGAAUUCAAUAUAGAAUCACAUAACUAGAAUGGCAACUAUUGAUUAGAUGAGGCUGAAAGGGCAGCUGUGUGUAUUUCAAAGGGCUCUGAAUGCCAGAUGAAAACAUCUGUACACAGAGAGGGGAAGACAUGAAUAGGUUUGAACCCUAAAAAGAUGUUUGUCGACACCAAGCAGACUGGACUGGGGUAGGGAGUGAGUGGAGGCUGUGAAGCCAAUUAAGUUUGUGGUCACAGUUGACAUAAGAAUGUAAGGAAGAAAAAAGGCUUCAAUAGCAUAAUGCUUUAAUACCAUGCUUCUCAGCCUUGAGUAUUGCAUGGGCCAUUUGUAAACAAUUUACAAAGUUAAGUUGUUAUUAUCAUAGUGUUAUUUAAAGGUGUACAAUAUUCCUUAUACCUAUAGCGCCAAUGAAAGUAAAACCAAAACGAAGUUACAAACCCAGGUAAUAUUGUUCUAAAUCUUGUCCUCUUUCUGGCUUUUCGACACCUCUAGGUCUUCCAACCUCCUUCCUCUAAAACUAACGAUUGUCUGAGAGUGUGGCACUUCAAGCAAAAGACCUGGGUUCACACUCUGACUCUGCCACUUACUAGCUGGAGACUUAGGGAAAUUGCUUGAUCAAUAUGAGCCUCAAUUUCUUCAUCUAUAAAGUCAGCAGAAUAACCUACCCCAUACAGUUUUUGUAAGAAUCAAAACAAUUAUGUGGAAAGCACUCUGUUACCCAUGAGUUCUCACUAACACAAUCUUGUGGACUUGCAUUAAUAUGCAAAAGACAACAGAAGUUUACUAAAGUAAGUGACAUUUUUUGGAAGGGUUCUGAACUAUUAAUAUUUUAAAAGAGAAAAAAAUCAAAAAAUGUUUAUAAGAACAAGACAAUCAUUUAUUCUUAACUACUCAAACUCAGAGGAUCAUGUGUGCCUCCAUUUCAUGCCAUCAUUUGCAGAGGAGGAAAAGUAGACAGGUUGAGGGCCCGUGUGUGUUGCUGACAAAGGCAAACUGAGCCCAGGCCUUGUGGCUCCCAGAUCUGUUCACCAAUUAAAAGCUACAAACUUCAUUGAUAAUGCUUAUAGCCAGCUAAAACAGCACCUUCUUUGGAAAGCAGCACCUGGGACCCUUCCACAAACUCUCUGCAAUGUGCUAACACAAGUCUCAAAGACCGGGCAUUUCCCAGGGAAGAUGGAGGACACCACACCUCAGAACCUUUGCUACCCUCUGAGACAAGGCUCACUCUCCAUGUGAGAGACCUCACUUAAGUGAAAAGAGGGAAGCAGUAAUCCAGCUCAGGAUCAAUAGAAAGAAUCAACUAAGUCUUCCUGUGUAGAUCUAUUUCAUACCAAGGACUUCAUGUCUUCAAUUUGGAAAGAAGUUCAAAGAAAAAAUCAGGGACAAGAUUACACAAUUUACAAACUGACUUCACACACAUCAUAUUUGAUCCACAUGGUCACCAUGCUAGAUUGAUAUUAUGACCCAAAAACACUCUCCAACAAAAACAACAUGUUUAUUUCUAUUGUCUUAAUCUUAAGCAAAAAAUUUUACUUGAUUUUUCCGUUUCUUCUGUUCUUGGAGAAAAACUUGGCACACCUUUAAAGCAGUAGUGAACUUCCCAUUUUUGAGGAGGCUUAAAUAUUAUUUAUAAAAAUAGCAAAUAAAAUGUUACCCCACCAUUCCUCCUUCUUGAAAUUAAUAUGGUACAGUGCCAAAUUCCAUUCAUCCUUUCACUUAUUCAUAAAACAAACACAUUGGUAGCACCCAGGAUAUGCCACCAUUGUUUUAUCCUGGAGGACAUAAAAAUGAAAACAACCAAAGUCUCUACACUCUGAUCAUAAAAUCAAUAUUAAUAAAAAAUUAUAGCCCGCAAUGUGGACUGAUGUCAAAAAUCAUGAAUUCAGGGUAAAAAGAAAGUUACUAAAGACUGGGAUGACUGUACAAAUACACAGGAAAGAAGUCAUCAACAAAAAAUUCUAAAAAUGCCUCAAGGUUUGGGCCAUUCCUUCGAGAACAGCAUAUAUAGUAGGGCCUGUGAUGGAUGGCCAAUACAAAAACGCUCUGACACUAACUUAAUUUGCAACUUAACAAGAGUAUUAACUGUGUACUUUUAACAUAAAAUAAAAUGGGUGACUAUCUUUCCACAACUUUUAAUAUUUAUUCUGUGUUUUUUAGCUUGUCCUUUAAAAAAUGAAGAAUCCAUUAACAUUAGUUUUCAGGUUACCAUCUUAGGCAACUAAAUAUGAAUAAUCAAUGCAAAUUAACCAAUAUUAUAUAAGGAAAUUUGACUUAUCUUUCAACCUAAGCAGACAUGAUUUUUUUUUUUUUUUUUUUUUGAGAUGGAGUCUCGCUGUCACCCAGGCUGGAGUAUAGUGGCGCGAUCUCAGCUCACUGCAACCGCUUCCUGGGUUCAAGUAAUUCUUCUGCCUCAGCCUCCUG